CCUACGGGUGGCAGCAGUGGAGAAUAUUUCACAAUGGGGGAAACCCUGAUGCAGCGACGCCGCGUGAGUGAAGAAGUAAUUCGUUAUGUAAAGCUCUUUCAGCAGGGGAGAAAAUGACGGUACCUGAGUCAGAAGCCCCGGCUAACUACGUGCCAGCAGCCGCGGUAAUACGUAGGGGGCAAGCGUUAUCCGGAUUUACUGGGUGUAAAGGGAGCGUAGACGGCAGUGCAAGUCUGGAGUGAAAGGCGGGGGCUCAACCCCCGGACUGCUCUGGAAACUGUACGGCUGGAGUGCAGGAGAGGUAAGUGGAAUUCCGAGUGUAGCGGUGAAAUGCGUAGAUAUUAGGAGGAACACCAGUGGCGAAGGUGGCUUACUGGACUGUAACUGACGUUGAGGCUCGAAAGCGUGGGGAGCAAACAGGAUUAGAUACCCGUGUAGUC
rnacentral:rRNA from 1 species